UUCACAUCCCCACUCCGCAGCCCCCCCUCUGGAUUCUCUUGAUAGGAAUAAGUGCCCGAUCAUUAGGGAAGAAAAACUUUAUUGACUCAAGAUCUGGGAGGGCCGGCGCAAGGUCAGGAGCAAGUACCACCAGUUUUACAUAAUUUUUGCAUCUGCACCAAUUUGAUUUAAGGCUAUAAGUGGAAUUUAUUGGAGUUGGAAACCUUUCAAAAACAGUCCACAUGGCUUGUCCCCAUGCACCUGGCAUGCCUCAGGAGUGGAGAGAACGGAUGCCCACUAUGCUUUGAGCAAGAUGACAACUGAAAGUAACUUAAAGUUCCAUGAAACUCCUCCAGGUUCCUUUUUAGAAGGCAAAUUGGGCAGUAUUUUUUCCUAUACCAAUCCUGCCAUUUUUCCCCCAGAAAUUUAAAAAUCCUGGUUGCUAGAUCUGAAGAACUGCUUGUACCAUUCCGAGAGUCAAUGACACACUCUCCAAGCUGACAGGAACGUCGGCGUCUCCUCUGAGACUACAGCCAGGCUUCCAGAUUCUCUCUCAGUUCUCCGUUAAUGUUUUCUUUGUCACGGCUGUAAUUUGUCUAAAGUCCAAGAGGACACUGAAAACAGAAAACUCACUUCUCAAUCGAUUGAUGCUGUCAAAGAGUUGAAGGCUCAUGACCAGAUGUGUCCCUAGGAGCUGCCUGAGACUUGGGAGAGCAUGGGAUACCUACAAUGGUGAGCAAGAUGGGCAUGGUCAUUGCCUUCCCAAAGCCCACCGCCUUAUCAGAUGUCAGAGUCCAGUCGUCAGAAGAGAGAGUCAGUCCCAAGUUCUUUUGAGAACUGCCAAUCAACUGCUGCUUGACCUUUGGCGCGCUAUUCCCCCUGCCACUCUGAGGUUGGUUUGCCCAGAAGCUGAGUUUUCUGGUCUACUGUGAAUCAUAGGAUUUUAGAGCUGAAAAGACCUUUAAAGAACAGCUCCCCAUUUUACUGACAAGGAAACAGGGCCCAAGAGGUGAUGUCCUCCCCGCACUGAUACUCAACCAGCCCAAAGCACACCGUCCAGCAUCCCCACAGCUUCAUAAGGAAGCUGACUAGGGCCUAUUCUUUAUGAAGAAUUGCAAGACCUUCAAAGGAAGUGCCUUACAUCCUG
rnacentral:lncRNA from 1 species